UACGGAGGGCGCAAGCGUUGUUCGGAAUUAUUGGGCGUAAAGCGGGUGUAGGCGGCUUGGCAAGUCGGGUGUGAAAUCCCUGGGCCCAACCCAGGAACUGCAUUCGAUACUGCCUCGCUAGAGUCCCGGAGAGGAUGGCGGAAUUCCAGGUGUAGAGGUGAAAUUCGUAGAUAUCUGGAGGAACACCAGCGGCGAAGGCGGCCAUCUGGACGGUGACUGACGCUCAGACCCGAAAGCGUGGGGAGCAAACAGG
rnacentral:rRNA from 1 species